rnacentral:ncRNA from 1 species
AAAAUUGCAUUGCAGUAACUAGUGCAAACUUGUAAUUAAUAGGCUCUUGUAAUGUUACGUUAGUGCUUAAAACGACUCAGGCUAAUUGCAAAAACGGCUGCCAACAUUGUACAGGCAGCAAAUUUGCAGCGAGCUUACUUGCAUGUGUUUUAAGUUUUGCAGUCAUUACAUUGCAAGCUUAAGACCGUAGUAAGCUCGUUCAACGACUAGUAAGCAAUGUUGCUUGCCAUGAACACCUGACUGCCUAAUGACUGCCUUAAUGCAGCAUGGGUUGAAGACAUAGUCUAAACUGUGCAGUAAUGCACAG